AUGAGAGUGCAAAAAUGUGCAGGAGACGUGGAGAGAGGGCUGUCAGGAGGGCCGGAUGGGAAGGCUCCUGGGAGGAGGGAAACGAAUCAGAGCGCGGAGAAACGCGAGCGUCUGGGGCAGAAGGAUGAAGAAAUCGAGGCUCGAGGAGGUGACGACAUAAAUUGCUUGCAUCGUGGAGGGCUGGAAGGUGCAUCUGAGCACCUGCUACAGAAGCAGAACCGAGCGAUUGUCUCAGCAAACCCAUCGCAGGCAUUGGGGCUUCUCCAGCAACUUCCUGGAAGCAGGUACAGUAGGAAGAGCCCUCGUGUGAUUGCAGGCAAAUCGCGUAACCGCGGGAGGCACGGUUCCUUCACCUGCCAAAAGACGGGAAGUUGGCCUCGCUCUCUUUGAGCCUGGAUGAUCCUGUUCAAGACCAGAGGGCAGGCAGAGAGAAGGGGGCAGGAGGCUCUGCCUGAAUCAAAGCGCUGCCUUCCAGGGCCUGUGCUGCGGGCUUGGGACUUUCUGAUCCCGCCUCUGGGAAGAGCCCGUGGAUUCAGAGGUGGGAAAUGAUCGGUAAUUGAUUGUUGUUCGUUCAGAGCCUACUAAGGAUCUAAGCAUGAACUGGUGCUGUCACUGGAGGCAAUGAAUCAAAAAGAAGGGAGGGAUUUUUAAAAAGUUUUUUAUUUCUUUUCAUUUUGUUUGAAAAGCAGAGUUGGGGGGAGAGAGAGAUCCAUCUUAUUAUUUUUUUUUUGAAAAGUUAUUUUAUUUAUUUGAAAGGCAGAGUUACUGAGAAACAGAGGCAGAGAAAGGGAGAGAGGUCUUCCAUCCACUGGUUCACUCCCCAGAUGGCCACAGCUGGCUGGAGCUGCACUGAUUCAAAGCCAGGAGCCAGAAGUUUCUUCCAGGUCUUCUACAUAGGUGCAGGAGCCCAGGCCAUCUUCUACUGCUUUCCCAGGCCAUAGCAGAGGGCUGGAUCGAAAGUGGAGCAGCCAGGAAUAGAACUGGGGCCCAUAUGGGAUGCCAGCACUGUAGGCAGUGGCUUUACCUGCUACGCCACAGCGCCAGCCCUGAGAUCCAUCUUCUAUACAUUGGUUCACUUCCCAAAUGCCAGGGGGUUGGGUCAGCCUGUAUGUAGCCGGGAGUCCAAAACUCAAUCUUGGUCUUCCAAGUACCUGAGCUGGCAUCUGCUGCCUCCAGGAUUGCUUUAGCAGGAACCUGGAUGGGAAGUGGAGCCAGGACUCCAACUCAGCACUCUAACAUGGGAUGCAGGCAUCCCAAGCAGAAGUUAACCACCGUGCCAAACACUUGGCCCCGGAAGUUUCUUUAGAAAGAUGAUUCAUUUCUUACUCUCCUACUCAAAUUGCCCAAUAACGUAUUGCAAUGGAUGCUAAUAAAUGAAGGUGAGUUAAUUGUGUCA
rnacentral:lncRNA from 1 species